UUCUUGUUUGAUGCUUUAAUGCAUUAUGAGCUAACUAGUGAUGGCUUUUGGAGUAUUAUAGCUUAGAAGUUUCAUAAUAUUUAGAAUUGGAGCUAUUUUGUCUCUAAGGAUAGGAUGAGGUGUUCCUUUAGUGUAAUUUACGGUUUAGACUUACAGGUAUAUGUACAUAUUUGUAUCUGUAUGGACAUGUUCAACCAAAUGCUGCUGGGGUUUAGUCAGCUUAAUAAUCUUUACUGGACGCUUUUCCAUCUUGAAACUUGACCUUCUUUAUUCCAUUUUACUUGGGAAGAUUUAGUAAGUGAUAAUGUGUAUUUAAGAAAGCUACUAAUUAUUUUUGCACUGUUGCAUACUAGUUCAAUGUUGAUACUGUUCCUCACUUCCUUUAACCUUGGCUCUUCAUGGGGUUGGGACUUGGGAAUAUCAUUAUAUGUUACAAUAAAAUGUAGUAUCACUAUGAUUUUUGAGAAGCCUGUUAACAUAAUCCUUCCUCUUUGGUGGGAAGAAAACAAAUCAGACUUAAAUGCUACAGUUUUGAGAUUGAUCUUCUCUCCCUUGUUUUACUUUCCAGUUCCAUGUCAGUCCGUUCUUCUACUGAGCAUAAAAUAGGGAAGAUCAGCACCCAAGGGUGUGGCCUAGCAGUAAGAAACGGGCAUGAGAGAUCAAGGUUCAAAUCCCAUCAGAGCAGCAAAAUACCUUAUGUGAUUUCUUCCCAUUUGUAAGCCCUGGUGGAUAGAGUUAGGCAUCACCUUGAGCCGAUCUUAUUCAAUGGACUGUGACUUCCUCACUUGAGCGUUCUAUCGAAUUUCCAUUGAUGGACUAGUGGACUCAUCCGACUCAUCUAGUGGAUUAGUUGAGGUGCACACAAGCAAGUGGGAUGCCCCUGUUAUUUAAAAAUAAAGGAACAUCAAGAUAAAAGGGAAGAAAUUGGAUGGAUCCUCCUACAUGCUAGUUUGAACGAUGAUGAACCCCCCCNNNNNNNNNNNNNNNNNNNNNNNNNNNNNNNNNNNNNNNNNNNNUUUUUUUAUAUGUCAAUCUCCUGUGCAGAAAAUGGGGCAUUUUGGAGAACACUUUACAGUUGGCAUGUUUAUCUCACAUGGUUUUACUGAUCACAAACAAAAUUUACCAGGUUUGGCACUUUGGUUAAGUAUUUCUUGGGACAAGCCAAUAGUAUAGGCAGCUGGGCAGCUCUCUCUACUGUCUCUCGAAGACAUUAUUUUUUGUGUGUUAUUUUAUUCUAAUAGUCUCUACUAUUGAAGUAACCUUUAUCAGCUUUGUGUAUUUGCUUCAGAAAAAUUGAAGUGGCCUGUAUUUUACUCCACUAGGGCAAGGACAUAUUUCAGUCGCACUUAUUAAUAGAAUAUAAAAAGAAGAGAGCACAUGGCAACGGAUGUCACAUUUUUUUUUGUAAAGAAAUUGCUGUGACCCUUCGUCUUCUGGACGUUUCUUUUUUCAACGGGGAAAAUGAUUUGGCUUAAGCACUUCAUAACUUUUAUGUACUUGCAUACGCAUUUAGUCCUAUCUUAUACACUUAUUAUGUGUUUGCAUUUUAGUCUCUUUUUCCUCUUUUUGCAGGUUAUAUCAGAAAUAAUUGAAACCUGCCGAGCUCAUGAUUUUACAGAUGUAAUUUUGGUCCAUGAGCAUCGUGGUGUACCUGAUGGUAUUAUCAUUAGCCAUCUGCCAUUCGGUCCAACUGCUUACUUUGGAUUGACCUGAUGGUAUUAUCAUUAGCCAUCUUCCGUUUGGUCCAACUGCUUACUUUGGAUUGCUCAAUGUGGUAAAUGGUCUUACUCUUCCCUUAUAUAGUU
rnacentral:lncRNA from 1 species